GACGAACGCUGGCGGCGUGCUUAACACAUGCAAGUCGAACGCUGAAGCUUGGUGCUUGCACUGGGUGGAUGAGUGGCGAACGGGUGAGUAAUACGUGAGUAACCUGCCCUUGACUCUGGGAUAAGCCUGGGAAACUGGGUCUAAUACUGGAUACGACAUGUCACCGCAUGGUGGCGUGUGGAAAGGGUUUUACUGGUUUUGGAUGGGCUCACGGCCUAUCAGCUUGUUGGUGGGGUAAUGGCUCACCAAGGCGACGACGGGUAGCCGGCCUGAGAGGGUGACCGGCCACACUGGGACUGAGACACGGCCCAGACUCCUACGGGAGGCAGCAGUGGGGAAUAUUGCACAAUGGGCGAAAGCCUGAUGCAGCGACGCCGCGUGAGGGAUGACGGCCUUCGGGUUGUAAACCUCUUUCAGCACGGAAGAAGCGAAAGUGACGGUACGUGCAGAAGAAGCGCCGGCUAACUACGU
rnacentral:rRNA from 1 species